rnacentral:rRNA from 1 species
CCUUCCCUUUAAAAAAAAGGUCCAGCCUGCCCAGUGACCAUGUUCAACGGCCGCGGUAUCCUAACCGUGCGAAGGUAGCGUAAUCACUUGUUCUUUAAAUGUGGACUAGUAUGAAUGGCACCACGAAGGUUAUACUGUCUCCUUUUUCUAAUCAGUGAAACUAAUCUCCCCGUGAAGAAGCGAGGAUACACCUAUAAGACGAGAAGACCCUAUGGAGCUUUAAACAACACAGCAAUUACCUGCUAAACUAAAAAGUUUCUGAACAUUUUAAUCUUUUAAGUAAUCUGACUGCAAGUUUUUGGUUGGGGUGACCACGGAGCAUAACACAACCUCCAUGUUGAAAGAAUUCUUUCUAAGCCAAGAACAACCUUUCUAAGCAUCAAUAUAUUGACAUCCAUUGACCCAAUACAUUUGACCAACGAACCAAGUUACCCUAGGGAUAACAGCGCAAUCCACUUCAAGAGCUCCUAUCGACAAGUGGGUUUACGACCUCGAUGUUGGAUCAGGGUAUCCCAGUGGUGCAGCCGCUACUAAAGGUUCGUUUGUUCAACGAUUAAAACCCUACGUGAUCUGAGUUCAGACCGGA